rnacentral:rRNA from 1 species
ACUCCUACGGGAGGCAGCAGUGGGGAAUUUUGGACAAUGGGGGAAACCCUGAUCCAGCCAUGCCGCGUGAGUGAAGAAGGCCUUCGGGUUGUAAAGCUCUUUCAGACGGAAAGAAACGGUCGCAACUAAUACUUGCGACUAAUGACGGUACCGUAAGAAGAAGCACCGGCUAACUACGUGCCAGCAGCCGCGGUAAUACGUAGGGUGCGAGCGUUAAUCGGAAUUACUGGGCGUAAAGCGUGCGCAGGCGGUUUUGUAAGACAGACGUGAAAUCCCCGGGCUUAACCUGGGAACUGCGUCUGUGACUGCAAGGCUAGAGUACGGCAGAGGGGGGUAGAAUUCCACGUGUAGCAGUGAAAUGCGUAGAUAUGUGGAGGAAUACCGAUGGCGAAGGCAGCCCCCUGGGUCGAUACUGACGCUCAUGCACGAAAGCGUGGGGAGCAAACAGGAUUAGAUACCCUGGUAGUCCACGCCCUAAACGAUGUCAACUAGGUGUUGGGGAAGGAGACUUCUUUAGUACCGCAGCUMACGCGAUAAGUUGACCGCCUGGGGAGUACGGUCGCAAGAUUAAAACUCAAAUGAAUUGACGG